rnacentral:lncRNA from 1 species
UUUGUGUGCUUUCCUCUGCUUUAUAUUCCUGCAUUCCUGUUUUACUCUGUUUUAUAUUCCUUAUGGGUGCCGUAUCUAUGUUAUGUCAUCUGCUUCUGUGCUGUACUAUGUGUUUGUGUGAUAUCUCGUGACUUGAGCCGGGGGUCUUUCGGAAACAGCCUUUCUACUUCAUCAGAGGUAGAGGUAUGGACUGCGUACAUCUUACCCCCCCCAGACCCCACUAAGUGGGAAUACACUGGGUUUGUUGUUGUUGUUGUUG